AGGAUAAACGCUGGCGGCGUGCUUUACCAAUGCGAGUCGAACGCGCCAUUCUACGGGGUGGCGAGUGGCGGCCGGGUGCGUAACACGUGGGUGACCUACCCAGGCGUGGGGGAUACCCGCUCGAAAGGGUGGCUAAUACCGCAUGGGCUCCUCUCUCGAGUGAGGGGAGCAAAGCCUCUUUCUGAGGAAGGAAGAGGCGCGUUUGGAGGGGCCCGCGGCCUAUCAGCUAGUCGGUGGGGUAACGGCCUACCGAGGCGGUGACGGGUAGCCGGUCUGAGAGGACGGACGGCCACACUGGGACUGAAAUAUGGUCCAGAGCCCUACGGGGUUUAGCAUGGAGGAAUCUUGCGCGAACGGGGGAACCCCGGCGCAGCAACGCCG
rnacentral:rRNA from 1 species